CAUACCUUUCUCAUACUCCCAGCAUGUACUUCUCAGGGAUCCACUCAAAUCCCAGUCCGGGGAUCUUUUUUGUGGCCAGUGUCCUCGGUUUCAUCAUGGGACACUGUAUUUUCCUCUUUCUCAUUAUCCUGAUGAUUCAUCAGUGUAGAAAGAGGAGAGUGUUCCAAGAGGAAGAACUGAUGGAGAGACUCCUGAAUGAGGAAGAGAAGGCUGGAAGUCUGGUUUGUGAGCUCAAGACCAUAGCGUAUCACUGAAGGGACCAAUGUGGCUGUACUGAAACCAUCUGCACCAUGGUCCAGGCUAGGGCUUCAGAGGACACCGCAGUGGUCACCAGCUGUUUUGAUGCUGCACUGUGGCCUCACUUUUUAUAAACUAUCCCAAAAUAACCAUUUGUGCCCUUCUC